rnacentral:rRNA from 1 species
UACGUAGGGUCCGAGCGUUGUCCGGAAUUAUUGGGCGUAAAGAGCUCGUAGGUGGUUUGUCGCGUUGUCCGUGAAAACUCACAACUCAAUUGUGGGCGUGCGGGCGAUACGGGCAGACUGGAGUACUGCAGGGGAGACUGGAAUUCCUGGUGUAGCGGUGGAAUGCGCAGAUAUCAGGAGGAACACCGGUGGCGAAGGCGGGUCUCUGGGCAGUAACUGACGCUGAGGAGCGAAAGCGUGGGGAGCGAACAGG